AUGUUGCUAAGUGCCAGCGCCACCACUGUGACGCGCGAGCCGACGGCCAUCCCACACGGCAGCUCCACGGCCACCUGGGCACCAGCGCGGGGCGCCGAGACGGUGGCGGGGCAGGACGCGGGGGCUGACAGCGAGGGGAAAGGGGAUGAGGAGGUGGGGCAGGGGGUAGCCACGGCGGCGAAGGCAGAGGAGGCUGCGGCGUCGAUGGAGGAAGCGGAGGAGGAGUUGGCGCCGCGGCGGAAGCGGAUGGAGGAGAGCGCGAGGCGGGCACGGCGGGGCGGGUCGGGGGUCGGGAAGAUGCGCGUGUGUAACCAGAGCGGGGCCGCGGUCGUGGAGGAGCGUGCCUCGAGCUCGCGGCGGCGCGUGCGGUCGGCGGUGGCGACUGGCGAGACGGAGACGGAGACGGAGGCUCGGGCCGCACCAGCCGCGCUUAAACGGUGCGACCCAGCUCGUUCGAGUCAGCGCGCGGGUACGCCAGGGUGGCACCUGACGGGUGGGCCCAACCGAUCAAUUUGCCUGUCAAUACGUAUAAACAACACUUUUAGUUCCUUUUGCAAUGGUUCGCUUCAAAGUUGGUACUAA
rnacentral:rRNA from 1 species